rnacentral:rRNA from 1 species
UACGUAGGGUGCAAGCGUUAAUCGGAAUUACUGGGCGUAAAGCGUGCGCAGGCGGUUGUGCAAGACCGAUGUGAAAUCCCCGGGCUUAACCUGGGAAUGGCAUUGGUGACUGUGCGGCUAGAGUGUGUCAGAGGGGGGUAGAAUUCCACGUGUAGCAGUGAAAUGCGUAGAGAUGUGGAGGAAUACCGAUGGCGAAGGCAGCCCCCUGGGAUAACACUGACGCUCCUGCACGAAAGCGUGGGGAGCAAACAGG